UUUUCAUCAGACAAUCUGUGUGAGCACUGCAAAGUACGCUUCUUUAAGGUAAGGAGGUGAUCCAACCGCAGGUUCCCCUACGGUUACCUUGUUACGACUUCACCCCAGUCAUGAAUCACAAAGUGGUAAGCGCCCUCCCGAAGGUUAAGCUACCUACUUCUUUUGCAACCCACUCCCAUGGUGUGACGGGCGGUGUGUACAAGGCCCGGGAACGUAUUCACCGUGGCAUUCUGAUCCACGAUUACUAGCGAUUCCGACUUCAUGGAGUCGAGUUGCAGACUCCAAUCCGGACUACGACGCACUUUAUGAGGUCCGCUUGCUCUCGCGAGGUCGCUUCUCUUUGUAUGCGCCAUUGUAGCACGUGUGUAGCCCUGGUCGUAAGGGCCAUGAUGACUUGACGUCAUCCCCACCUUCCUCCAGUUUAUCACUGGCAGUCUCCUUUGAGUUCCCGGCCGGACCGCUGGCAACAAAGGAUAAGGGUUGCGCUCGUUGCGGGACUUAACCCAACAUUUCACAACACGAGCUGACGACAGCCAUGCAGCACCUGUCUCACGGUUCCCGAAGGCACAUUCUCAUCUCUGAAAACUUCCGUGGAUGUCAAGACCAGGUAAGGUUCUUCGCGUUGCAUCGAAUUAAACCACAUGCUCCACCGCUUGUGCGGGCCCCCGUCAAUUCAUUUGAGUUUUAACCUUGCGGCCGUACUCCCCAGGCGGUCUACUUAACGCGUUAGCUCCGGAAGCCACGCCUCAAGGGCACAACCUCCAAGUAGACAUCGUUUACGGCGUGGACUACCAGGGUAUCUAAUCCUGUUUGCUCCCCACGCUUUCGCACCUGAGCGUCAGUCUUUGUCCAGGGGGCCGCCUUCGCCACCGGUAUUCCUCCAGAUCUCUACGCAUUUCACCGCUACNNNNNNNNNNNNNNNNNNNNCCUGGAAUUCUACCCCCCUCUACAAGACUCAAGCCUGCCAGUUUCGAAUGCAGUUCCCAGGUUGAGCCCGGGGAUUUCACAUCCGACUUGACAGACCGCCUGCGUGCGCUUUACGCCCAGUAAUUCCGAUUAACGCUUGCACCCUCCGUAUUACCGCGGCUGCUGGCACGGAGUUAGCCGGUGCUUCUUCUGCGGGUAACGUCAAUUGCUGCGGUUAUUAACCACAACACCUUCCUCCCCGCUGAAAGUACUUUACAACCCGAAGGCCUUCUUCAUACACGCGGCAUGGCUGCAUCAGGCUUGCGCCCAUUGUGCAAUAUUCCCCACUGCUGCCUCCCGUAGGAGUCUGGACCGUGUCUCAGUUCCAGUGUGGCUGGUCAUCCUCUCAGACCAGCUAGGGAUCGUCGCCUUGGUGAGCCGUUACCUCACCAACAAGCUAAUCCCAUCUGGGCACAUCUGAUGGCAAGAGGCCCGAAGGUCCCCCUCUUUGGUCUUGCGACGUUAUGCGGUAUUAGCCACCGUUUCCAGUAGUUAUCCCCCUCCAUCAGGCAGUUUCCCAGACAUUACUCACCCGUCCGCCACUCGUCAGCAAAGCAGCAAGCUGCUUCCUGUUACCGUUCGACUUGCAUGUGUUAGGCCUGCCGCCAGCGUUCAAUCUGAGCCAUGAUCAAACUCUUCAAUUUAAAAGUUUGAUGCUCAAUGAAUUAAACUUCGUAAUGAAUUACGUGUUCACUCUUGAGACUUGGUAUUCAUUUUUCGUCNNNNNNNNNNNNNNNNNNNNGA
rnacentral:rRNA from 1 species